CUAUCAUAUAGCAGAGGCGGCGUGCGCAUCCGGAGUAAAUCAGCUGACGGUGCUACUAUAAUGUUAAUGUUUAAUGAAAGUGGAAGAUAACAAAACAAAUUGAUAUUAACUUAAGUUACAUAAUGUUCACAACUUACCACACCAGUCUGUCACUAAGCAUGGCAAUCAACUGUUUCAUCUUUAUCAGACUGCUACAUACUAACUAGUUUGUUACUUACAGGAACUAAAUACCGCUAUUUUUACGCAAUAAGUGCAGAUGUUGAUGCUGAGAAUCCCGGAACUAUUAUAAAAGUGGACACACUACGCAAGACCACGAAGACAUGGUGUGAAGAUAGUUGUUAUCCCAGUGAACCAAUAUUUAUACCUUCUCCCAACUCGCAAAGUGAAGAUGAUGGAGUCAUUUUGUCAGCGUUAGUAUGGGGAGGGGCAGAUACACACCAUGUCGGGUUAAUAGUUUUAAAUGCCAAAACAAUGCAAGAAAUGGGACGAACCGAAUUUCGUACGAGCAGUCCGGUACCAAAAUGUCUACAUGGUUGGUUUCUACCAAAUAAAUAAACAUAGGGCGCUUGGUAGCAAAUGAAAUGUGAGAUAAAUCAAUAUAUUAUAUUUGUUAUAAGCAAAUAACAUAACAACUAUUCUAACAAAUUAUUACAUAUGUAACGUUAACAAGAUGAUCAUUUAAUAUAAUAAAAUAGUUACAAACAUUCAGUUCGCACCUGGUUAGUAAGACCAAGUUUGAGAUACCAUUGACUUCCAAGUAAUCGCAACCUCGCAAUGUAGUUAAAAAAAUAAAUGCUCAUCAACCUGUU